rnacentral:rRNA from 1 species
AUUGAACGCUGGCGGCAUGCCUUACACAUGCAAGUCGAACGGUAACAGGUUAAGCUGACGAGUGGCGAACGGGUGAGUAAUGUAUCGGAACGUGCCCAGUCGUGGGGGAUAACUACUCGAAAGAGUGGCUAAUACCGCAUACGACCUGAGGAUGAAAGCGGGGGACCGUAAGGCCUCGCGCGAUUGGAGGGGCCGAUAUCAGAUUAGCUAGUUGGUGGGGUAAAAGCCCACCAAGGCAACGAACGGUAGCUGGUCUGAGAGGACGACCAGCCACACUGGGACUGAGACACGGCCCAGACUCCUACGGGAGGCAGCAGUGGGGAAUUUUGGACAAUGGACGCAAGUCUGAUCCAGCCAUGCCGCGUGCGGGAAGAAGGCCUUCGGGUUGUAAACCGCUUUUGUCAGGGAAGAAACGAGUUUCUCUAAUACAGAGACUUAAUGACGGUACCUGAAGAAUAAGCACCGGCUAACUACGUGCCAGCCGCCGCCGUAAGAC